rnacentral:lncRNA from 1 species
UUUUAUCCAUUUCAACACUGUUAAGUGCCCUUGGAAGCCUGAUUAAUGCAAUCCUUUACAAGUACCCCUGCUGUGGAAGUGAUAGUGGAUGAAUGCAGAAAUUCAGGAGAAGAAUUUUUUUCGGUGGUGGCAUCCUGCAGUGAAGAUUUCUGAGAAGCUUUCUUGAUGUGAUUACUUUGUCAGAAGGUAUAAAAUUAUCCAGAAUUAUCAACGGAGCAGAAACCAGAUCACAUCUGAGCAACAGAUCAUUUGGCAGAGAAAUAUAAAUUACGAGUUUUAGCACAAUUUUGUGCAUAUCUACACACAGGUAAGUCUCACUAAGUUUAACAGGGUUUAUUCUGUGGCAAGUGAGUCCAAAGAAUUGGAGCCUUAAAAAUGUCAUCUGAUUGGGUUGGUGGGGAAGGAAUUUUUCCCACUCUCACUUCUUACC